AAAGGAAUAGACGGGGACCCGCACAAGCGGUGGAGCAUGUGGUUUAAUUCGAUGCAACGCGAAGAACCUUACCUGGGUUUGACAUGUAUAAGAAUCUUCCAGAGAUGGAGGAGUGCUGGUUUUCCAGAGCUUUUACACAGGUGCUGCAUGGCUGUCGUCAGCUCGUGUCGUGAGAUGUUGGGUUAAGUCCCGCAACGAGCGCAACCCUUAUCCUUAGUUGCCAUCAUUAAGUUGGGGACUCUAGGGAGACUGCCAGCGUAGAAAGCUGGAGGAAGGUGGGGACGACGUCAAGUCAUCAUGGUCCUUAUGUCCAGGGCUACACACGUGCUACAAUGGUUGGUACAAAGAGCAGCGAGACAGUAAUGUUAAGCGAAUCUCAUAAAGCCAAUCUCAGUUCGGAUUGAGGUCUGCAACUCGACCUCAUGAAGUCGGAAUCGCUAGUAAUCGUGCGUCAGAACAGCACGGUGAAUACGUUCCCGGGUCUUGUACACACCGCCCGU
rnacentral:rRNA from 1 species